GACGUAGGGCGCAAGCGUUUGUCCGGAUUUAUUGGGCGUAAAGAGCUCGUAGGCGGCUUGUCGCGUCGACUGUGAAAAACCACGACUCAACCGUGGGACUGCAGUCGAUACGGGCAGGCUAGAGUUCGGUAGGGGAGACUGGAAUUCCUGGUGUAGCGGUGAAAUGCGCAGAUAUCAGGAGGAACACCUGUGGCGAAAGCGGCUCACUGGACCAUAACUGACGCUGAGGAGCGAAAGCGUGGGGGAGCGAACAGG
rnacentral:rRNA from 1 species